rnacentral:rRNA from 1 species
AUUGAACGCUGGCGGCAUGCCUUACACAUGCAAGUCGAACGGCAGCACGGGAGCAAUCCUGGUGGCGAGUGGCGAACGGGUGAGUAAUACAUCGGAACGUACCUGGUAGUGGGGGAUAGCCCGGCGAAAGCCGGAUUAAUACCGCAUACGACCUGAGGGUGAAAGCGGGGGAUCUUUGGACCUCGCGCUAUUGGAGCGGCCGAUGGCAGAUUAGGUAGUUGGUGGGGUAAAGGCCUACCAAGCCUGCGAUCUGUAGCUGGUUUGAGAGGACGACCAGCCACACUGGGACUGAGACACGGCCCAGACUCCGACGGGUGGCAGCAGUGGGGAAUUUUGGACAAUGGGCGCAAGCCUGAUCCAGCCAUGCCGCGUGCGGGAAGAAGGCCUUCGGGUUGUAAACCGCUUUUGUCGGGGAAGAAACGGUGGGAGUUAAUACCUUCUGCUAAUGACGGUACCCGAAGAAUAAGCACCGGCUAACUACGUGCCAGCCGCCGCGGUAAAAC